GGGUGGCGAGUGGCGGACGGGUGAGGAAUACAUCGGAAUCUACUUUUUCGUGGGGGAUAACGUAGGGAAACUUACGCUAAUACCGCAUACGACCUACGGGUGAAAGCAGGGGAUCUUCGGACCUUGCGCGAUUGAAUGAGCCGAUGUCGGAUUAGCUAGUUGGCGGGGUAAAGGCCCACCAAGGCGACGAUCCGUAGCUGGUCUGAGAGGAUGAUCAGCCACACUGGAACUGAGACACGGUCCAGACUCCUACGGGAGGCAGCAGUGGGGAAUAUUGGACAAUGGGCGCAAGCCUGAUCCAGCCAUACCGCGUGGGUGAAGAAGGCCUUCGGGUUGUAAAGCCCUUUUGUUGGGAAAGAAAUCCAGCCGGUUAAUACCUGGUUGGGAUGACGGUACCCAAAGAAUAAGCACCGGCUAACUUCGUGCCAGCAGCCGCGGGGUAAUACA
rnacentral:rRNA from 1 species